rnacentral:rRNA from 1 species
UACGUAGGGUCCGAGCGUUGUCCGGAAUUACUGGGCGUAAAGCGCACGCAGGCGGUUUGGCGCGUGGGGUGUGAAAUCUGGCCGCUUAACGGCCAGGCGCCAUCCCAUACGGCUAGACUGGAGUGAUGCAGAGGUCGGUGGAAUUGCCGGUGUAGUGGUGAAAUGCGUAGAGAUCAGGAAGAACAGCCCGUGGCGCAAGCGGCCCACCUGGCUGCCAACUGACGCUGAGGCACGAGAGCGUGGGGAGCGAACCGG